UACGGAAGGGGGCUAGCGUUGCUCGGAUUGACUGGGCGUAAAGGGCGCGUAGGGCGGUUCGUAACAGUCAGACGUGAAAUUCCUGGGCUCAACCUGGGGGCUGCGUUUGAUACGUGCGGACUUGAGUGCGAGAAGGGUGGUGGUGAAUUCCCAGUGUAGAGGUGAAAUUCGUAGAUAUUGGGAAGAACACCGGUGGCGAAGGCGGCGACCUGGUCCGAUACUGGACGCUGAGGCGCGAAAGCGUGGGGAGCAAACAGG
rnacentral:rRNA from 1 species